UACGUAGGGGGCAAGCGUUGUCCGGAUUUAUUGGGCGUAAAGAGCGUGUAGGCGGCCAUGCAGGUCCGUUGUGAAAACUCGAGCUCAACCUCGAGACGCCGAUGGAAACCGCAUGGCUAGAGUCCGGAAGAGGACGAGUGGAAUUCCUGGUGUAGCGGUGAAAUGCGCAGAUAUCAGGAAGAACACCCGUGGCUAAGGCAGAUCUCUGGGCCGUAACUGACGCUGAGGAGCGAAAGCAUGGGGAGCGAACAGG
rnacentral:rRNA from 1 species